AUUACAUUUAUGCUCCUUGAUUCACAGUAUGUCAGAACUGGAAAGGAUAUGAUAGAUUAUGUAAUCCAUCUUCCCUUGUCUUAUUUUACAGAAGGGUAAACUGAACCCCAAAGAGAUGAGGGGGCCCCUCCAAAGUCACACACCUAGUCAGUGAUGGAGCUUGGAUUCAAAACCUGGAACUCCUGACCGCAAGUCCAUGGAUCUUACUAAGCUAUCUCAUGGGCCCUGCAGGAUUGGGGAUGGAAGCAACCUGAAUACCCUUUUGUGGGGCCACAGAAUGUCUGGAGAGAGCCAAGGAAUCCAUCCUUUCAUUCUUGAGGCCAUUCCUUUCUAAAUUGAAUGUGGGUUCUUCUGAUAAAUCCAAUGGGGACGUCAGCAAGCCACUCAGGCCUAGGAGGAGAAACCUCACCUCAACAACUGCCCCUUUUAAUACAAGACUGCUCUGAUCUUCAUCUCCACUGCUGUCACCACUCAGGGAAGGGCAGUAGCACUGCCCUUGACUCAGUCCAAUUGCCCUGCCCCAGACACAAGAGCGAAGCAAUUUCCUUCCCUCUCUCCAUCUCCCUUCUUUCCUCUUUUUUCUUUUCACAGGUUAAAUCCAAGACCUGGCAUUCUGUUUAUAGUGUGUGGUAUUUGUUUGGCCAAUGAGAUGAGUAAAAUCUUCAAAUCCCAGAAGUCUAUGAAGGUCCAAGCCACUCCUCUUACCUUUGAGGAGCAGAAUCUGUUCUACCCUUCAAGUAGAGGUAGACUGUAAACAAGUAGACUGUUUAUAAGUACAGUAGGAGCAGAGUGCUAUAUGAAGUUAGACAAUAUUGAAGAUUCCUUUGUGAAGUAAAAACAAGUCCCUUGAAUUAAUAAUUAACUCUCCAAGAGAGGCAGCAAUAGCAUAGUAUGAAAGAUGCUAAUUCGUGACCCCAGAUGGUCAUAUCACUUCAGGGAGUCCAGGAAGAAAGACUCAGAGAGGAAUCCAAAUUCUGAUGAGACAUUUAGAAUGUGUAUGGGACUGAAGUAGAAGAAACUAUGAGAAACUAUAUGGUUGAGAAAGUUUAAGUAUUGUCAGGGACUAUUGCCACAAAGGCCUGGGCCUCCAGAAGCGAGGCUGCAUGGGCCACUGGGGGGAUGAGGAAAGCCAAAACAGGUACUAUACUGUUUUAAACUCUUCCCUCAACUACCAACACUAAGGUGAUAAUUCUGGACCUCCUUUCUUCCCUUGAUGGGAACCUGAAGCCUUUUCCUCUGAGAAUGAAAUGACUCUAUCUUCCUCUGUUUUAAUAAAUAUUUAGUAAACAUUAAAUAAAUAUGUAUU
rnacentral:lncRNA from 1 species